AGCUGGAACUGGUCUUGGACAGCCAUUGUUCUCCAGUAUUUGGUACUUCACAAGGAUCAGCGUACCCGAGCCUUCUCUACCGCAGGAAUGGAAGAAUCUUCGGACAGCUACGACUCAUCUGCAGAUGUUUCUGAUUCACCUCCUGCUUCUGAAACUGAAGAAGCUCCGAUGGAGGUAAAGAGCUUAUUCUGAGGGAGUGCAUCUUUCCUGCAUUGCAAAACAACAAGGACAAGAAGUAUAUACUAGUGCCCUACAAUCCAACGGGUCACUGGGUUCUGAUUAUUCUCAUGGUGAGCGAAUGCAAGGCUUUUUACUUGGAUUCACUUAAAAACAAUGCACCGAAAAGGGAUUACGAAGUGUUGUCAAACAUUCUGAAUGAUGCUCUCUUUGAACAUAGUUUUAAAGGUGGAAUUGUAAAAAAAAAGAAUAAAGGUCCUGCACGCUUUAAGCAUUACACAGAGGUUAGUUGCA